CAAGACCUUGCGCUUUUGGAGCGGCCGAUGUCUGAUUAGCUAGUUGGUGAGGUAAAGGCUUACCAAGGCGUCGAUCAGUAGCUGGUCUGAGAGGACGACCAGCCACACUGGGACUGAGACACGGCCCAGACUCCUACGGGAGGCAGCAGUGGGGAAUUUUGGACAAUGGGGGAAACCCUGAUCCAGCCAUGCCGCGUGAGUGAAGAAGGCCUUCGGGUUGUAAAGCUCUUUCAGCCGGAACGAAACGGUCACGGCUAAUAUCCGUGACUACUGACGGUACCGGAAGAAGAAGCACCGGCUAACUACGUGCCAGCAGCCGCGGUAAUACGUAGGGUGCGAGCGUUAAUCGGAAUCACUGGGCGUAAAGCGUGCACAGGCGGUUUUGUAAGUCAGAUGCGAAAGCCCCGGGCUUAACCUGGGAACU
rnacentral:rRNA from 1 species